rnacentral:rRNA from 1 species
GCCCUCUGGGUCCAACCUCCACCCGUGUUUAUCGUACCUUGUUGCUUCGGCGGGCCCGCCGCAAGGCCGCCGGGGGGCAUCUGCCCUCUGGCCCGCGCCCGCCGAAGACACCAUUGAACGCUGUCUGAAGAUUGCAGUCUGAGCAAUUAGUUAAAUAACUUAAAACUUUCAACAACGGAUCUCUUGGUUCCGGCAUCGAUGAAGAACGCAGCGAAAUGCGAUACGUAAUGUGAAUUGCAGAAUUCAGUGAAUCAUCGAGUCUUUGAACGCACAUUGCGCCCCCUGGUAUUCCGGGGGGCAUGCCUGUCCGAGCGUCAUUGCUGCCCUCAAGCACGGCUUGUGUGUUGGGCUCCGUCCUCCUUCCGGGGGACGGGCCCGAAAGGCAGCGGCGGCACCGCGUCCGGUCCUCGAGCGUAUGGGGCUUCGUCACCCGCUCUGCAGGCCCGGCCGGCGCUUGCCGACACAUCAAUCUUUUUUCCAGGUUGACCUCGGAUCAGGUAGGGAUACCCGCUGAACUUAAGCAUAUCAAUAAGCGGAGGAAAAGAAACCAACAGGGAUUGCCCCAGUAACGGCGAGUGAAGCGGCAAGAGCUCAAAUUUGAAAGCUGGCCCCCUCGGGGUCCGCAUUGUAAUUUGCAGAGGAUGCUUCGGGAGUGGCCCCCAUCUAAGUGCUCUGGAACGGGCCGUCAUAGAGGGUGAGAAUCCCGUAUGGGAUGGGGUGUCCGCGACCAUGUGAAGCUCCUUCGACGAGUCGAGUUGUUUGGGAAUGCAGCUCUAAAUGGGUGGUAAAUUUCAUCUAAAGCUAAAUAUUGGCCGGAGACCGAUAGCGCACAAGUAGAGUGAUCGAAAGAUGAAAAGCACUUUGAAAAGAGAGUUAAAAAGCACGUGAAAUUGUUGAAAGGGAAGCGCUUGCGACCAGACUCGCCUACGGGGUUCAGCCGGUAUUCGUACCGGUGUACUUCCCCGUGGGCGGGCCAGCGUCGGUUUGGGCGGCCGGUCAAAGGCCCUCGGAAUGUAACGCCUCUCGGGGCGUCUUAUAGCCGAGGGUGCCAUGCGGCCAGCCCGGACCGAGGAACGC